GACGAACGCUGGCGGCGUGCCUAAUACAUGCAAGUCGAGCGAGCUUGCCUAGAUGAAUUUGGUGCUUGCACCAAAUGAAACUAGAUACAAGCGAGCGGCGGACGGGUGAGUAACACGUGGGUAACCUGCCCAAGAGACUGGGAUAACACCUGGAAACAGAUGCUAAUACCGGAUAACAACACUAGACGCAUGUCUAGAGUUUAAAAGAUGGUUCUGCUAUCACUCUUGGAUGGACCUGCGGUGCAUUAGCUAGUUGGUAAGGUAACGGCUUACCAAGGCAAUGAUGCAUAGCCGAGUUGAGAGACUGAUCGGCCACAUUGGGACUGAGACACGGCCCAAACUCCUACGGGAGGCAGCAGUAGGGAAUCUUCCACAAUGGACGCAAGUCUGAUGGAGCAACGCCGCGUGAGUGAAGAAGGGUUUCGGCUCGUAAAGCUCUGUUGGUAGUGAAGAAAGAUAGAGGUAGUAACUGGCCUUUAUUUGACGGUAAUUACUUAGAAAGUCACGGCUAACUACGUGCCAGCAGCCGCGGUAAUACGUAGGUGGCAAGCGUUGUCCGGAUUUAUCGGGCGUAAAGCGAGUGCAGGCGGUUCAAUAAGUCUGAUGUGAAAGCCUUCGGCUCAACCGGAGAAUUGCAUCAGAAACUGUUGAACUUGAGUGCAGAAGAGGAGAGUGGAACUCCAUGUGUAGCGGUGGAAUGCGUAGAUAUAUGGAAGAACACCAGUGGCGAAGCGGCUCUCUGGUCUGCAACUGACGCUGAGGCUCGAAAGCAUGGGUAGCGAACAGG
rnacentral:rRNA from 1 species